AGCAGCCGCGGUAAUUCCAGCUCCAAUAGCGUAUAUUAAAGUUGUUGCAGUUAAAAAGCUCGUAGUUGAAUUUCGGGGUUAGUAGGUUGGUCAUGCCUCUGGUAUGUACUGGUCUCACUGAUUCCUCCUUCCUGAUGAUCCGUAAUGCCAUUAAUUUGGUGUUGCGGGGAAUUUGGACUGUUACUUUGAAAAAAUUAGAGUGUUUAAAGCAAGCUAACGCUUGAAUACAUUAGCAUGGAAUAAUGAAAUAGGACGUUCGAUCCUAUUUUGUUGGUUUCUAGGAUUGACGUAAUGAUUAAUAGGGAUAGUUGGGGGCAUUAGUAUUCAAUUGUCAGAGGUGAAAUUCUUGGAUUUAUUGAAGACUAACUACUGCGAAAGCAUUUGCCAAGGAUGUUUUCAUUAAUCAAGAACGAAAGUUAGGGGAUCGAAGACGAUCAGAUACCGUCGUAGUCUUAACCAUAAACCUAUGCCGACUAGGGAUCGGAUGAUGUUAAUUUUUUUAAUGACUCA
rnacentral:rRNA from 1 species